CAGGUCCUUUGCGGCCAGCAUGAUAUUGUAUUUAUAACACGUGGAGGAGAGAGAGCUCGCCGUGGUCAGAUGGUUCUGAAGACGAAGUGAAAAACGAUGUGUCCACACUACUCGGCACAUCUGUCCGAUCGACAUUAAACACUGACACAUGGAGGCCGUGGCCGUCGUCAUCAUCAUCCGUGUUCUCUGUCAUUUCGCACGUUGAAGUGGGACGGACCACACCGUGAGCAUGCAGAAGGGGCACUUCUCCGUAGGGGAACUAAUGGUGGCUAAUUUUCACCACGUUCAUUAAGACUUUUCCACUAAGAGCCCUCUUUUGAGUAGCUCGGAAAUAGAGGACUCGCAUAUCUACAAGCCAUACAGUUCGAACUACGUCAGCCGCCUCUCUGCAGAUGGAGGGGACGGGACGUGUCCCCUCCCUGACACGGAAGUAGAGCGGAAGCAGCGGAAACAUCCCCCCGGCCCUCGCUUCCCGCACGCGAAUAUUACUCACCACGAUGAUGGGUGUUUUAAAAUGGCUUUUGGAGUAAGAAUGAAAUGCCGUGGUGGCGGUGCCGGCAGACGGGCAGGGACCGAACCCUUCGAGGACAGCGCGCUUCCGUGGUCACAGCAGAGCCAGAGGCUGCCAAGUCGCCCCUCCCCGCCCCGCCCAGAUGUCUAAUGUCUGUCAUAACUCACCCUACAUGGCGACAGAACCAGAUGCGAAUGUGUAGUGUCAUUUAUUUUUUCUUAUUUUUAUAUUUUGUCCUUAACAGUUUCGAAAAUCUUUUUAAAGCUCCAGAGGUCGAAUUUAGCUGGGAGCGAGCAAGUGAGAAUUUGGCAGAACAUCUGUGUUCCUGAAGUUUGCAUUUUUAAGCCGUGCAUGAAUACCCGACUGCCUUUCCAGAUGAGCGUAUUAAUUCCACACAUUCCGAAGAGGAAUUCGCAGAACCAGUGAAUAGGAGCGUGUCUGGUAACUGAGACUACAGAUUUUAAAACUGUCUUUAGGAAUCUUUUAUUUUCUUGUGUUUCGGCUUGGAUUCCAAUUCAGGCUAAUGACUGGUAAAGAAAAGAAUAGACAGCAACUUGCAGGUAGCUCCUAAAGUUGACUGUUUUAUCAAAGACCUUUGCGUACGGCUCUUUAGAGCAGUCCAGCUAAUAGUGCAUGUGGAGAGACGUACUUGACCUCUGGAGACCCGAGACCCAAGCCAGUUGCUGUUUCCAUCACUGUCGUUCACGCUUGUUGACAAUUGAAAUCCCCUCUUGAAGGAGUGGUUUCACGUUCCUGGACACUGCAGCCAGGUUGCGAAGGGCCAGAGACCUGGAGGGACAUUGUCUGUGCAUCCUGGAGAAUUUCUUCAGCCCUCUUCCCUUGUGGCUCUGCACCAGCAGGGCUUGGGGUGGAUGGGGCUCCUCGGGAAGAGAGACUAGCUCAUAGUGGGGUGGGGAGCGGGGCUCCCCCUGGCUGACUCCGUAGGGACAGCGCUAGACCCCGAGGACAAGCGGGUCAGACGCCCAAGUGGAUUCUUCUGGCCGGACAUGCAGGUGCGGUGUGCCGCUCAGCUCCAUCGCUCCACAUCUGUGUCAAACAGGUCCUGUGUCUGACGGGAGGAGGAGGAGCGUUUUGGGAAACCUGUAUUUACUGAGCAUCUUCACUGUGACUUGCGCUGUAAAUAGUCCAAGAGCCUCCCCUGAGGGGAGGCUGACUAAGGGUGUCAAAGCGGGUGCCUGCAUGUGCCCAGCGGGGCGUGGGGCAGCGGCAGCAGUAGAAUCACAGAUCCAGAUGGGUCCCCGAGGGCCAGGCCGCCUCCCACCCUCUCUGAUUCCUGCCCAGGGAGGAGCACUCUCCGCUUCCAGGGGAGCUCUGACGGGCUGUUUUGUGUUGUUUUAUUCUAAAGGCUUCACCACAGGCAGGGGGACCAGGGAACAAAGAUGGGGCGUGAGCAGCUGCCAGGGACCUGGAGGGUCCUCGCUGCCAUCUCCCCGACUCUGCCCCUCCGCUCACCCCCAGCAAUAAAACCAUCCCCCAGCAAUGUUCUUUCUGAUUCCAUGGAAUUGUUUCUUCCCUUCGGCCCUUCUCUCCAGAAUUAUGUAGACCUGAAGGUGCGUUUUGGACAAAACAGUAGAAUCCCCUUGUUGCCAGCAAAACAGUCGAAAAAUCA